rnacentral:lncRNA from 1 species
CUGCCUCCUCAAGUCGGGAGCGAGACCAGAAGGAACACCCGAGACUCCGACAUCAGCGUCAGCUGCAGGGGCUCCCGGAAGGACAAGCCUGUCCCUGGAUGCUCAUAAGCAGAGUGGCUACAGUGCAGCAAGGAAACCUUCCAGCAAACACUGCACUUGGCACAGCCGCAGGUCACGUCCCUGCCCACCAGGACCUCUCUGUGAUAAGGGCCAACGAUGUUUCCAUUCCUGUUCAUGAAAUCACUUGGCGAUGAGUGAAAUCUGUGUGCGUUGUAACAACAAAUGACUGCAACAGAAAAUCACCAGAUUUCCAUCAUAACUCAAAUGCCAGCCAGGCUUGGUGGAUGGGCUCCUCGCUGAAAUCUCCAUAGCUGCAUAAUCAUUAGCAGUGAGAACAGUCACCUACACGUGAAAGAAUGACUAGAGGAAAACAAUUCACUCCACUUAAGCAAAGUGAUGCUCCCUUUGGCUAAUCUAAAUACCUUGGGGUUUUGCUAGGUCUUCUCCUUCCUCUCUUCUUCGAGUAGAUGAUGGAACUUUGAAAGCCAGCGUGGGAGAGCAUUACAUGGCUGGAUGAAAACUCUGCUGGGUUUACAGUGAGCUGGCUCAUUAUUCAGUGAAACCUCCAUCCUUAUUCAGCCUUGAAUAUUUAAAUCCAUACAGAUCGGAACUGUACUCCGGAGCCUGGGAACACCGUGCAAUGCGCUCUAAAUCCCUGCUUUCAUGCGCAUGAAAGACCCGUCAUUUUUACCCCUCCUACCAGCCUAAUUGACCGCAUUUCCGUGAACACUCGCUUGCUGGUUCCUAGCAAUGAAGACUGUGGGGUCCUUUCUUUCCAAGGUUGUGCUGGAAAGUGGAGAAGGUAAAGGGGAAAGCAACAGGCAGGCAAGGGGAAUCCGGGAGAAGGGACUCAUCUGCAGCAGUCAUGCCUCUCAUGGAAUCACAGGCCAGGCUAUGAGGAAGAAACGCGGGCUUUGCUCUCGGUCACCUAAUGACGCUUUGUCAUUUUUAAAGGGCAUUGCACUGUGAUUGCCAUGGAUACAUGAAAAGAUAAUGUGCUAUUUUUAGCAUGAAGCAUAAAAUAAAAUCCAAAGUUGGGCAAUAUGACCCUCACGCCUCCAGAGAGCCUCAUUAAAAUGAGAUGUUUCCCUUCAGAGGUGAACUCAGUAAGUAACGUUUAAAUUUCUUAAUCAGGCCACACAGAGUUCCCAAAUAAAAAAUAGUUCUGAAAACAAAUCCUUCUGUCAGAGCCCGGGGCUUGCACCAUGGCAGCAAAAUCCUUCUGACUUAAAGUGGAGGGAGGAGGUGGUCUCUGAAUGAAAGACAUUUCAAAUUUUCAGUGUUCUAAUUGAGGAAUAAAAUGGUAUAUAUUCAGCUAGAAAGUAACCAUUGGAUCAAAUUAUACAGUCUUUUGAGUAAGCCAAUGUCAGCUUAAUAAUAUUUUAGCAUAUAAUAAAGUCGUGUGUAUCAAUUCUCAUUUUGAACCCAGGUUGAAUGUUACUGCUUCAAACAGUAAAUAAAAACUGAGAUUCUGA